AUGUCAUGAUGAGGACAUUUUUGCAAUAGCUCCUUGAAUUGCUCCCAUGCAUCAUAGAGAGAUUCUUCAUCAAAUUGGUGAAAUGUAGCAAUUUCAUUUUUGAGUUU
rfam:Gossypium hirsutum cultivar TM-1 chromosome 1, whole genome shotgun sequence